rnacentral:rRNA from 1 species
GACGAACGCUGGCGGCGUGCCUAAUACAUGCAAGUCGAACGCACAGUUUAUACCGUUGCUUGCUACACCAUAGACUGUGAGUUGCGAACGGGUGAGUAACGCGUAGGUAACCUGCCUGGUAGCGGGUGGUAACUCUUGGAAACGAUAGCUAAUACCGCAUGAUAUUAAUUAUUGCAUGAUAAAUAAUUGAAAGGUGCAAUUGCACCACUACCAGAUGGACCUGCGUUGUAUUAGCUAGUAGGUGAGGUAACGCCGCACACAGACGACGAGAUAUAGCCGACCUGUGAGAGUGAGCGGCCACACAGUGACUGAGACACGGCCCAGACACCUACACGAGGCGGCGGAAGAGAAACUUCGGCAAUGGACGAGAGUCUGAGCGGGCAACGCGGCGUGAGUGAAGAAGGUGUUCGGGGCGUAAAGCUCUGUGUUAAGAGAAGAACGGGUGUGAGAGUGGAAAUGUCACAAUGUGACGGUAACUUACCAAAAAGGGACGGCUAACUACGUG